rnacentral:rRNA from 1 species
GACGAACGCUGGCGGCGUGCUUAACACAUGCAAGUCGAACGGUAAGGCCCUUUCGGGGGUACACGAGUGGCGAACGGGUGAGUAACACGUGGGUGAUCUGCCCUGCACUUUGGGAUAAGCCUGGGAAACUGGGUCUAAUACCGGAUAGGACUACGCGAUGCAUGUCGUGUGGUGGAAAGCUUUUGCGGUGUGGGAUGGGCCCGCGGCCUAUCAGCUUGUUGGUGGGGUGAUGGCCUACCAAGGCGACGACGGGUAGCCGGCCUGAGAGGGUGUCCGGCCACACUGGGACUGAGAGACGGCCCAGACUCGUACGGGAGGCAGCAGUGGGGAAUAUUGCACAAUGGGCGCAAGCCUGAUGCAGCGACGCCGCGUGGGGGAUGACGGCCUUCGGGUUGUAAACCCCUUUCAGCACAGACGAAGCGUAAGUGACGGUAUGUGCAGAAGAAGCACCGGCCAACUACGUG